CCUAAUUACGGUUCUUUCCGCGAGUGGAACGCAGAGACUUCCGGCCAGCGCCACUUCCGCGGAAUGGAACGCAUGGUGUUCCGGUCGGUGGAACGCAAAAGACGCGUCUCCGGCAGUUGCCCUUCCAAAUCGUUAAAAUACACUCAUUUAAGUAGCCGUGCGUUAGCGAUAGCCACUGCCUGUCCUGUGAACCCUGUAACGUUUUUCCCAGUUGGUCUGAGUUAGUUAUCUGAGAGGUGAUCAGUUAAUGAGAGACUGGGUUUAUACUAAUCUCCUUAAUUGGCACUUCCUGUGGUUGAUCCUUAAAUAGUGCUCAGCUGAGGCUGAACUUUAUGCAGCUUCCAUUUGGCUCUGGACACUUGAGCAGUGAGUAUGGUUCUCCUGCAGCUCCCUUCUGACACAUGAUUACGGUUGGUGAUUAUUUUUUCCUGUUGUGCCUCCUUACAGACUGAGUGUCUGACACAUGUACAGAGCCCACAAGCUGCCAUGAGCUAUUUCUACAUGUAACUAGGUGACUACGCCUUGCAGCUUCCCCUACGUUAUAGGCUUUUUAACUUCAUUAUGUGAUCAGGCAUGUUGCCAACUUUGAAGGCCAUUCCACACAUCUGAGUGAUCUGGCUUGCCGUCCAGGUGAUUUAAGUGCCAAUCUUGAUAAAGGUCCGCAUAAGGACCGAAACGUCGAUGAAAUACGGCAUCAACAGUGAACCCGAAUAAAAAUAUACUGAAUUUACAA